GAUGAAGAACGCAGCGAAAUGCGAUACGUAAUGUGAAUUGCAGAAUUCAGUGAAUCAUCGAGUCUUUGAACGCACAUUGCGCCCCCUGGUAUUCCGGGGGGCAUGCCUGUCCGAGCGUCAUUGCUGCCCAUCAAGCACGGCUUGUGUGUUGGGUCCCGUCCCCCUCUCCCGGGGGACGGACCCGAAAGGCAGCGGCGGCACCGCGUCCGGUCCUCGAGCGUAUGGGGCUUUGUCACCCGCUCUUGUAGGCCCGGCCGGCGCUUGCCGACACCCAACCAUUUUUUUCAGGUUGACCUCGGAUCAGGUAGGGAUACCCGCUGAACUUAAGCAUAUCAAUAAGCGGAGGA
rnacentral:misc_RNA from 1 species